rnacentral:lncRNA from 1 species
GCUCCUUGAGUGAUAAUCAAUAUGAGACUAGAGAGUCCCUUCAAGAGGCCUCUCUCAAAGGACCCCAAAAGCUAAUUUGGUUCCGAUUGAUGUCCGCCCCCUAACUAAGCCACAUAUGAAACUGAUUAUUUUCAUAAGGCUACUCAAAGAGGCAUACAUUCCGUGAAAGUCAAAAGAGAAUCUACAGUGUUGAAAACUUUUUUAUCAGCUUCCUAGCUCUGAUUUCCGCAUAAUCAAGAUGUUAUUCCCAAAUCACACAGAAGAUAAUAGAAAAGCCGGCAAUGAUGCAUGAUGCAAAUAGUUAUAUAUCAUAAUCCGAAAAUGAAAGAAUAAUUUUCAAUCUACUGAGCCUUGUAGGUAGAAGAAAAUGUGAACGACUGCUUGAGGGACAAUAAAUAUUAGAUUGAAGAAUUAUUCUGCAAAUAGAACAAGCUGCUAUUAUAACGAAAAUGCGGAUAAUGUGUAAUGUGUUGUAGCUAACGCAUUGAGAGAGAGCGCGAGUUACCGUGGCCGCC